rnacentral:rRNA from 1 species
UGGGGAAUAUUGCACAAUGGGCGCAAGCCUGAUGCAGCCAUGCCGCGUGUGUGAAGAAGGCCUUCGGGUUGUAAAGCACUUUCAGCGAGGAGGAAGGUGGUGAGCUUAAUACGCUCAUCAAUUGACGUUACUCGCAGAAGAAGCACCGGCUAACUCCGUGCCAGCAGCCGCGGUAAUACGGAGGGUGCAAGCGUUAAUCGGAAUUACUGGGCGUAAAGCGCACGCAGGCGGUUUGUUAAGUCAGNUGUGAAAUCCCCGGGCUCAACCUGGGAACUGCAUUUGAAACUGGCAAGCUAGAGUCUCGUAGAGGGGGUAGAAUUCCAGGUGUAGCGGUGAAAUGCGUAGAGAUCUGGAGGAAUACCGGUGGCGAAGGCGGCCCCCUGGACGAAGACUGACGCUCAGGUGCGAAAGCGUGGGGCAGCAAACAGGAUUAGAUACCCUGGU